rnacentral:rRNA from 1 species
GGCUCAGGACGAACGCUGGCGGCGUGCCUAAUACAUGCAAGUAGAACGCUGAGGAUUGGUGCYUGCAYUAWUCCAAAGAGUUGCGAACGGGUGAGUAACGCGUAGGUAACCUACCUCAUAGCGGGGGAUAACUAUUGGAAACGAUAGCUAAUACCGCAUGAYACUAGAGUACACAUGUACUYAAGUUAAAAGGAGCAAAUGCUUCACUAUGAGAUGGACCUGCGUUGUAUUAGCUAGUUGGUGAGGUAACGGCUCACCAAGGCGACGAUACAUAGCCGACCUGAGAGGGUGAUCGGCCACACUGGGACUGAGACACGGCCCAGACUCCUACGGGAGGCAGCAGUAGGGAAUCUUCGGCAAUGGACGGAAGUCUGACCGAGCAACGCCGCGUGAGUGAAGAAGGUUUUCGGAUCGUAAAGCUCUGUUGUUAGAGAAGAACGGUAAUGGGAGUGAAAAUCCAUUACGUGAC